UGAGGAAUAUUGGUCAAUGGACGCAAGUCUGAACCAGCCAAGUAGCGUGCAGGAUGACGGCCCUAUGGGUUGUAAACUGCUUUUAUGUGGGAAUAAAUUGGCGCACGUGUGCGCCAUUGCAUGUACCUCAUGAAUAAGGACCGGCUAAUUCCGUGCCAGCAGCCGCGGUAAUACGGAAGGUCCGGGCGUUAUCCGGAUUUAUUGGGUUUAAAGGGAGUGUAGGCGGUCUGUUAAGCGUGUUGUGAAAUUUAGGUGCUCAACAUUUAACUUGCAGCGCGAACUGUCAGACUUGAGUACACGCAGCGCAGGCGGAAUUCAUGGUGUAGCGGUGAAAUGCUCAGAUAUCAUGAGGAACUCCGAUCGCGAAGGCAGCCUGCGGGAGUGUUACUGACGCUUAAGCUCGAAGGUGCGGGUAUCGAACAGGAUUAGAUACCCUGGUAGUCCGCACAGUAAACGAUGGAUGCCCGCCGUUGGCGCCCUGCGCCUGCGGCCAAGCGAAAGCAUUAAGCAUCCCACCUGGGGAGUACGCCGGCAACGGUG
rnacentral:rRNA from 1 species